UGAUAAGUUCAACACAUAAGAAUCACCCAAGUUUAAAGUAUCAAGCCAUCACGUAUACAAGCAUGUUAUAGGAAUGUUCAUGUGUUUAAGCAAAAUGUUCAUGUGUAAGUUUUUGAUAAGUAAACAUGUUACACCCCAAAAGUGACAAAAGUUCAUGUGUAAGUUUCAAUAGGUAAACAUGUUACACCCCAAAAGUAGUAAAAGUAAAAAGG
rnacentral:lncRNA from 1 species